UUGAUCCUGGCUCAGAACGAACGCUGGCGGCGCGUCUUAAGCAUGCAAGUCGAACGGUAGUAAGGUGCUUGCAGCUUAUGAGAGUGGUGAACGGGUGAGUAAUACGUAGGUGAUCUACCGUACAGUUGGGGAUAGCCUGUGGAAACACAUGGUAAUACCCGGAUAAUUCUUAUAUGUUUACGGACGAUAAGGGAAAGGGGUCACGGCCCUGCUUGUCGAAGAGCCUGCGUUCCAUUAGUUACUUGGCCUGGUAACGGACUACCAACGCGACGAUUGAUAGUCGGACUGAGACGGUGAUCGUACACACUGGGACUGAGACACGGCCCAGACUCCUACGGGAGGCAUCAUCUAAGAAUCUUCCGUAAUGGGCGAAAGCCUGACGGAGCGACGCCGCUUGGACGAAUAAGGCCGGAAGGUUGUAACACGUCCUUUUACUCGAUGAAGAAUAACGGCAGUGAGGGAAUGCGCUGUCGAUGACAUUACUUGAGGAAUAAGCCCCGGCUAAUUACGUGCCACCAGUCGCGGUAACGCGUAAUGGGCGAUCGUUGUCCGGAAUUAUUGGGCGUAAAGGGCUCGUAUGCUGCUUGGCAAGCCUGGUGUGAAAGGCCACAGCUUAACUGUGGGAGUGCGCUGGGAACUGCCUAUCUAAAGUUUCGGCACGGGACGCUGGAAUUCCUGGUGUCGGAGUGAGAUCUGUAGAUAUCAGGACGAACAUCUGUGGCGAAAGCGAACUUCUAGCCAGAAACUGACGCUGAGGCGCGAAACCGUGGGGAGCGAACAGGAUUAGAUACCCUGGUAGUCCACGCUGUAA
rnacentral:rRNA from 1 species